CCUGAACGCUGGCGGCGUGGCUAAGACAUGCAAGUCGAACGGCCGUAGCAAUACGGCAGUGGCGAACGGGUGAGUAAUGUAUCGCUAACGUACCCCUCAAUCCGGGAUAGCCGGGGGAAACUCCGGGUAAUACCAGAUGACAUCCACUUAAGGCAUCUUGAGUGGCUCAAAGGAGCAAUCCGUUGAGGGAGCGGGCGAUAUCGUAUCAGCUAGUUGGUGAGGUAACGGCUCACCAAGGCGACGACGCGUAGCCGGGCUGAGAGGUCGGCCGGCCACA
rnacentral:rRNA from 1 species